UGGCUCAGUUGGUAGAGCAUGGUAGUUGCAACGCCAGGGUUGUGGGUUCAAUUCCCAC
rnacentral:tRNA from 1 species